GAAGCACGAAUACUUCCUCCUCUCUAUUUGUAUAAUUUUUAUUCAGUGUAAUUAGUGAGUGAUAUAUAAGUAUCAGCACAGCAGGGGGAGAGAAAUGGAUGGACCACAAUAUCAAGAUAUGUCAUACUAUGAUCAUGUCCAAAAGCGCCAAGAGGAGAAAGGCUGCUUGUAUGCUUUGCUGUUUGGGCUAUGUUGUUGCUGCUGCUGCUAUGAGACCUGUGAAUGCUGCUUGGACUUCGUCUGCUGCUGCUGCUGACUAAUUCAUUCUUGGUUUCAGUAAUUUUUAAAAAAUGGUUCUCUUGAAUAAAAGAAAUGGGUCUCCAUUUUGAUGAUCGUCAUUGUAUGACUUUUUAAGAUUUAUAGAAGUUUGGGAUUCCAUGAUAA